rnacentral:rRNA from 1 species
GGCGUGCUUACACAUGCAGUCGAACGGAAAGGCCCUGCUUGCAGGGUACUCGAGUGGCGAACGGGUGAGUAACACGUGGGUGAUCUGCCCUGCACUUCGGGAUAAGCCUGGGAAACUGGGUCUAAUACCGGAUAGGAGCCAUUUUAGUGUGAUGGUUGGAAAGUUUUUUCGGUGUAGGAUGAGCUCGCGGCCUAUCAGCUUGUUGGUGGGGUAAUGGCCUACCAAGGCGGCGACGGGUAGCCGGCCUGAGAGGGUGGACGGCCACAUUGGGACUGAGAUACGGCCCAGACUCCUACGGGAGGCAGCAGUGGGGAAUAUUGCACAAUGGGCGCAAGCCUGAUGCAGCGACGCCGCGUGGGGGAUGACGGCCUUCGGGUUGUAAACUCCUUUCGCUAGGGACGAAGCUUUUUGUGACGGUACCUAGAUAAGAAGCACCGGCUAACUACGUGCCAGCAGCCGCGGUAAU